rnacentral:rRNA from 1 species
GUGAAAUUGUUGAAAGGGAAACGUUUGACACCAGUCAUGUGGGUGGAAAAUCAGUCUUUUGCAUUGGAGAGUUGUAAGGGUUCGGACCGCAAGGCCGGCUUUUGCUUCAUCUUUGGUGUAAGUGAUGCACUUUUUCAUCUACAGGUCAACAUCAGUUUCUUUUGCUGGACAAAACUCCGAGAGAAGGUAGCAGCUUAGGCUGUGUUAUAGCUCUGGAGCGAUACAGUGAAGGGGACUGAGGUUUUCGCAGCGUGUGCUCUCGGGCAAGGCUGGAUGGGUGCUAUGGGAUCGUUCGGGGUACAAUGCCUGGCAUUUUGCUUCGUGUCUUUUCUAUACUCGCUCAACUCAGCUCUUCCACGCUUAGGAUGUUGACUUAAUGGUUUUAAACGACCCGUCUUGAAACACGGACCAAGGAGUCUAACAUAUAUGCAAGUGUUUGGGUGGCAAACCCAUGCGCGUAAUGAAAGUGAACGUAGGUGCGAUCCGCAAGGUGCAGCAUCGACCGAUCUUGAUAUUUUUGGAUAGAUUUGAGUAAGAGCAUAUAUGCUGGGACCCGAAAGAUGG